rfam:Hordeum vulgare subsp. vulgare, WGS project CAJW01000000 data, contig: morex_contig_47190
AGUCGGAAAGAGAAAGAAAAGAGGGCCUAAGAGCUGUGGGAAUGGGAACAUGAAGGAAAGCCUAACUUAGCUUUGUUUUCACCUCUAGUGUUGGAGGUGAGAACUCAAUUUAGUGCUUCCCGAUGCCUUCCAUUCCUAUUGUUCUCAAGCACUCCUUCCUCUUUCCUUUUUGA